CCUACUCCUACGGGAGGCAGCAGUAGGGAAUCUUCCGCAAUGGACGAAAGUCUGACGGAGCAACGCCGCGUGAGUGAUGAAGGUUUUCGGGUCGUAAAACUCUGUUGUUAGGGAAGAACAAGUGCUAUUUGAAUAAGGUGGUACCUUGACGGUACCUAACCAGAAAGCCACGGCUAACUACGUGCCAGCAGCCGCGGUAAUACGUAGGUGGCAAGCGUUAUCCGGAAUUAUUGGGCGUAAAGCGCGCGCAGGCGGUUUCUUAAGUCUGAUGUGAAAGCCCCCGGCUCAACCGGGGAGGGUCAUUGGAAACUGGGGGACUUGAGUGCAGAAGAGGAAAGUGGAAUUCCAUGUGUAGCGGUGAAAUGCGUAGAGAUAUGGAGGAACACCAGUGGCGAAGGCGACUUUCUGGUCUGUAACUGACNCUGAA
rnacentral:rRNA from 1 species